GCGCCCGUAGCUCAGCGGAUAGAGCAACAGACUUCUAAUCUGAAGGUCGCAGGUUCGAAUCCUGCCGGGCGCG
rnacentral:tRNA from 1 species